rnacentral:rRNA from 1 species
UACAGAGGUCUCAAGCGUUGUUCGGAUUCAUUGGGCGUAAAGGGUGCGUAGGCGGCGCGGUAAGUCGGGUGUGAAAUCUUGGAGCUUAACUCCGAAACUGCAUUCGAUACUGCCGUGCUUGAGGACUGGAGAGGAGACUGGAAUUUACGGUGUAGCAGUGAAAUGCGUAGAUAUCGUAAGGAAGACCAGUGGCGAAGGCGGGUCUCUGGACAGUUCCUGACGCUGAGGCACGAAGGUCAGGGGAGCAAACGGG